rfam:Camelus ferus unplaced genomic scaffold scaffold593, whole genome shotgun sequence.
ACAAAGGCUUUUAAAAGCCAUCAACUGAUGCAUUUUUAAUUUGU